GUGCGUGUGCGUGCGUGUGCGUGCGUGUGGCUUCAAAUGAGCAAGCUCCUCUGAUACAGAUCACAAGGUGCUUUGCAACUUACAACCUCAGAAAGCUGGCUGAAGGUUAGAGGCUAAGGAACCCAGUCACGGCCACCCAUAGCCGGGACGUUCCAGAUUUGGCAGCUGGACCCACUUCUUCCUGACUCCCAGAUUAAAUCUCUAUCUACUAUAUGACAUCAGAAAGAGGAUAUGACUCCCCUAUCCCCACCCCAGGGACACGUAGCUAGGUCCUGAAACCUUCUAUGUGCAUUAGACUCAGACACUCAGAGGCACCUGGAGAGAAGAGGCAGCCCCUGCCCACCCCACCCCCAGAGAAGAAGAGGGAGAUGUGGAAGCAGAAACAAACCUCAGCUAUGGUUUCCCUGAGUGACCUUGGGCUUUGAGCAAUCUGUCACAAAGACAUCCCUGUUGACCAGGUAUUCCAAGGAAGGCUCCACAGAGUUGGAUUUUGAAAGGUGAAGAAAUUGAAGCCCAGAGCAGUCAUGACUUGUGCAAGGUCACACAGGUAAUAAAUCAAAGCAUUGUGGAUCUAAAAUUGGAAAGGAUCAUCCCAACCUCUUUAUUUUACAUAUGAGGAAACUGAGGUACAGGUAGAUGGAGUUACUUACUCAAGGGAGAUUCACUUGGAUAAGCAGAAAAGACAAAAGAGAGGUGGGGUCUAACAAAGAUAGAGUAAUUGCCAUCUACAUUGGAUAUGAGGAGCCCAGCUAAGUGAUGUUGCUAAGAGGCUGUGUAUUUAUUUCUACAUCUGCUGGGCAGGGGAAUGGGAGGGAGCCAGCCCCCAAAUCCUGGUUCUUGAUGGCUCCCACUUCUGAGACCUGGAUUAGCCUCCGGCUUAUUCCUCCUGUGUCACAUCCAAGAAACACUGGUUGCUUUUCAGCGGCUGAAGGAAUGAUCUAUUGACUACUGCCAGCAGGGAGUAGCUAAUUGGCUCCAGUUCUAAGCACUACC